UUGUUNNNNNNNCCUCGUUACAUUCCCUUGAGUUGAUCAUGGCUCAGGACGAACGCUGACGGUGUGCUUUAGGCAUGCAAGUCGAACGAGAAAGCCCUUCGGGGUGAGUAAAGUGGCGAACGGGUGAGUGACACGUGGGCAACCUGCCCCUCGCAGGGGGACAACCGGAGGAAACUCCGGCUAAUACCCCGUACGCUUGUCGAGUCGCAUGGCUCGUCAAGGAAAGGUAGCUUCGGCCAUCCGGCGAGGGAUGGGCCCGCGGUGCAUUAGCUAGUUGGUGGGGUAACGGCCCACCAAGGCAACGAUGCGUAGCUGGUCUGAGAGGAUGAUCAGCCACACUGGGACUGAGACACGGCCCAGACUCCUACGGGAGGCAGCAGCCAGGAAUCUUGGGCAAUGGGCGAAAGCCUGACCCAGCAACACCGUGUGAGCGAUGAAGGCCUUCGGGUCGUAAAGCUCUGUUGAUAGGGACGAAGGGCGAAGGGUUAAUAGCCCCUAGCCUGACGGUACCUUUCGAGGAAGCCCCGGCUAACUACGUGCCAGCAGCCGCGGUAAUACGUAGGGGGCGAGCGUUGUCCGGAAUUAUUGGGCGUAAAGAGCGUGUAGGCGGUUCGGUAAGUCUGUCGUGAAAACCUGAGGCUCAACCUCGGGCGUGCGAUGGAUACUGCCGGGCUAGAGGAUGGUAGAGGCGAGUGGAAUUCCCGGUGUAGCGGUGAAUGCGCAGAUAUCGGGAGGAACACAGUAGCGAAGCGGCUCGCUGGGCACUCCUGAGCUU
rnacentral:rRNA from 1 species